CUUGGCUAAGGUGGGCAGGUGCCGAAAAAGCCCCCCUGCCAGAUGCUGCAGGCUGUUGCUGGCCAACAGCAGGGUGUGCAGGGAAUGCAGUGGUCCAAAGAGUUCCGGGUGGCGAAGGGAGCUCUGCUGGUUCCCAGAGAGGUCAAGGAAGCGCAGCCUGGCCAGGCCGGUGAACGCCCCGCGGCUCAGCCAGCGGAUGCGGUUGGACUCCAGGUGCAGGUAGAGUAAAUUGGGCAGCCCCGAGAAGGUGGAGUCGCCCAGCGAGCCCAGCUCGUUGCCAUCCAGGCGCAGCUUGACCAGGCUGCUGAGGCCAGAGAAGGAGGCGGCGCUGAGGCGGCCGAUCUCGUUGGCAUUUACGUAGAGGAUGCGCAGCUUGACCAGCGCGCUGAGCGUGCCGGGGACCAGCGCAGGCAGCAGGUUGUUGCCCAGGUAGAGCUCCUCCAGCCGGCCCAGGUGCUCAAAGGCCUUGGGAUGCAGCGAGCGGAUCCGGUUGUACUGCAGGUCCAGGCGCUGGAGCCCGGCCAGGCGGUGGAAGUCGAAGGCGGAGAUGUUGGCGAUGAAGUUGCCUCCCAGGCUGUAGGUGAGGACAUCCUGGGGCUCGGCGGCCUUGGGCACGGAGCGCAGGCCCCGGUUGGUGCAGAGGAGGUGCUGGUGCUGCUGGCAGUCGCACGGCUCGGGGCAGAUGGGCUCCGCCGCGGGCAGCAGCAGGAGGAAGAGCGCGACGGAGCCCCACGGCACCAUCAGGCGGAGCCGGCGCCGCGCUCCCAUCCCGGGACGAGCCGAGGGCUGUUUCCCCCGGCGGCUUUGUGUCUCUCCGGCAUCCCACCGCUCCUCGGCGGCUGCUAAUCGUCCCCUCCUCUGCUCCGCGCCGGACCGAGCUCCGCGCCGGGCAGGCGGGCGCCGCGACCGGUGCAGGUCGCGGUGCCCGACACCAUGGGCUCCCGUCACCAGAGCCGGCCGGGGCGGAGAGCGGCGGAAGGGCUGCGGGUGCCGGGCUCUGCCCGGGGCCGGUGCCGCAGAGCAGAGCCGAGCGGCUGCCCGCUGCUCCGCCGGCUCUCCCGGGAGCGGAGGGGGCGGGCGGAGCGCGGGGAUGGGGCGGGCGGGGCGGGGGGAGCCGGAGAAAGACGAGCUCCGAAAGUGACCGAGAAAAACUCAGCGGAAAUUCGUACUUCCCACACUGUGCCCUGGGGGAGCGGAGGAUCGGAUGGAGCGCGGAAGAUGGAGCGCGGCAGGGAGGGAAGGGAAGGGGGCGGGAGCCCGCGGCCCGUCCUGGCUCGGCCCGGCCCCGGCAGAGAGCGGGGGCCAAAGUGGGAAAGUGGGAAUUGGAACCGGCUGCGGCCGCCUCCCGCCACAUGGGCUGCAGACAGAGCUGCGCAUCGGGAGGGGGAAGGGAGGAGGAGUACACGAGCCACCCCCACCUCCGUCUCCCUUUUUUAGGUCGCCUUUAGGAACCUGCCAAAAGCAAUAGUAACGGUUUGCCCCAGAUUAAGGGCUACGUUUUGUUUUCAGCAGAUGGCAGUCAGAGGACUAAGCCACCCAUAGUACCUCAAGGAAUGACUUUUCCUUCAUCCUCCGCACCAGCCUGCUCGGGCGGUUCCCGGCACAGCGGUCAGUGAAGAUGUAGCUGAGCAUCAUUAGCUCCAUGAGGCUCUUUGGAUGCUCUGUUGAAAAAAUUCCAUUUUUAAAAAAUCCAAGUGAAAGGAAGGUGUCGGAAAGCAUGCUGAAAAGCAAGUAGGCUGUGUACCCGUCCAUUCACUGCCUUGCUUUUCUUUCCUGUUGGCACUGGUUUUGUUUCCUAAGAUGCUGCCAGCAGGGUAAAUGAGUGUCUAAGGGCAGGAGGAAAUGAGUAUAUAUGCAAGCUGUUUAAAGCUGUCAAGUGCAAGAAGAGAAGGAAGAUAACACCCAAAAUACCAUGUUGGAAAUCCAAUAAAUACUUUGGAAACUGCGAAUUUAUGCCCAGCCGCAUACGUUUGAAUACAUUUCUGGAUCAUGCCUGUUCUUGCACCAGAAAGAAAACUUCAUAUAGUGGCAGCUGUGUUCUUAGUGACUGUGUCAAUGUGAGCAGAAAGCGUGGUACAGGACUUUGUGCUGAGGCCCUCUUGCCCACUGUUAUGGAGAGGCACUACGUUGAGCUAGAUCUGACUUGGACCUUCUGUCUUGUGGUUGGAGAACAAAAUGCAUGCUCCAAGUCUGCUCUGAGGAUGAAGCAAAGUAUUCUACAUGGAGACAGUCGGCAGAUUUGCUUCAAAAGCACAGUAUCAGGAAGAAGAGAUCUUGAAGAAAACUCAUGGAUCAGUCAAUGGACUAUUUCUAUGAGCAUCUUGAUUCUUAGCUCUUGUUAUAUGACUCUUUAUAUGAGGCUUUAUAAAGGGGAAUCAUUUUGUAGUGGUAACUGUGCUGUGCUGCUGUGGGAAGUAUGUUUAGGACAGGAGAGUGACAUUUUAGAUAACCUGGACAAAUUUUGCAAAUAUCUUCUAAAAAUCAAGUGAGCAGCUAUGAAUUAUUACUUGCUCUUUGGGAAAACCCAGUGUGAAUAACAGUGUACUGGAAUAUGGUCAUGUCAAGGUGGGUUGUCUAAAGGGAGUUUGAAUUUAAAGCUAGAGAAGUGUUGUGGGUUUUUGUUUGUUUGUUUGGUUGUUGUUGUUGUUGUUGUUUUGAGAAAAUACAAUUACAGUAGGCAGUCUUGAUAGUCUAGAAGAGUAAGUGAAAAAUAACCUAACUAUACGCCAAAGUGUACUCAGAGGGAAAGAUGUCAUGGCAUAUUGCCAUCAAAAACGAAAGAUUUCUAAUUAAAAAUGGUGGUGAUCAGAGUUGUCAGAUUCCAAAUCCUUUUGACUUCUGAAGAUUUUUCUGCUAUCUUGUCAUCAAACGAGCAUGUUCUUAGAUUAACUUUUAUUUAGAAUUGUGCAGUAAAUUGUAGCUGCAUUGUUUUCUGGGGAUAAGCAGAAGUUUAUUUGUUGAGUUUCUGGCUCGACUGUACAUACUUUAUUUUGAGCAGUACAAUUAGUAAGGCAUUCUUUUUCCUACAGUGAGUCUAAGCAAGUUUCACACGAUGAAUUUUUUGCUGUCCUUUCUUCUUUUUUUUCUGUGUUACAAAAGGAUCUCUUCCAGCAUUUGUUUGUGAUUCUAAUGCCCAUGGAUAAGAAUCCAGAGAUUUUAGCUCAUCCUCUUACUUACUGAAUAUGUAUUCUCUUGCCAGGUUUUUUCUUUUCAGUGUCUAUCGCAUCACGUCUAAUAUUAAGGACAAAGUAGAGUGUUCUCCUUGCUACAAAAACUGUGUUUCUUUUCUCACUCUCAAAACUACUAUAGUACUGGAGAGGACACUCUGUCUAAUUUUUGUUUAAUUGCAAGUAACGAAUUUUUCCUCCAACAAAUUUGGUUAACUGUGGUGUGCUUUAAAAAGUGAAAUUUGAGGAAACCAUUCUGUAUAAUGGUAUGCUUAUUUUCAAUUCCUUUGGGUUUCUUUUUUUUUUUUUUUUUUUUUUUUUUUUGAAACAUACUUGAAAGUUUAAGGGCAAUUUAUGAACUGUCCUUCCUGUAGAAGCACUGUAGAUCUUUUUCUGUCCGCAUGUCAUUGCAAGUACUUCAGAUUUAAGUCAAAUUAUGUCUUGUGCAGUGGCAUUGCUUUCGGUUUAUGUAUUCUGACACUUAGCCAACAUUGUUGUUUUCACUGGGUUUUGGGGAAUUGUGCGUGUUGGAAUUUUUGUUGAAAAAUCACUAGUGAUGCUUAGGAAGAAAACUCAUCACGCACUUCUUCUUUCUCUGAAAAUAUCUUAAACCAGAAGCGGAAUGCACAAAUGCACUGCUUUUAUUCUCAUUUCUUUUAUUCAGGUAGGAAAUUAUUAUUCACCAUACAUUAGGAACACAGCUGCUCAGAAAAAAAAAAAAAUGCCACAUUUGUUUUCCUACUUUGGAACGGAACUUUCUAACUGCAGUAGUUCUUGUUUCCUUAUACAAACACACAGUAACAUUUUAAACGUGUGAUUGAGAAAUAGUAAUCAUUUACCACAAAGUGAAAAAAUAAUCUGACUAUGAAAAACGGUUGGAAGAGAACUACGAAAGUAGUAUCUUUUUAAGUUUAUCUUAAAGUACACCUUUGUUAUUAAGAUUUAAAGCAUGAGGACUUUUAAAAGGCAGGAAUGAAUAGCAAAACCAGAAAUGCUAUCUUUCCUCUGAUAUAUAUCUAUACCCCUGAUAAUUGUGAGAAAACUGACCUUAAAUCAGGAUUUCAUUCACAACUAAAUAGUAUCCAUAUGGUUGUUAUACGGAAGACUUUGGACUUUUUUUUGUUGUUUUUUUGAUUUUUGAGAGAUGUUAUCUAGGCACUGAUUAGAGGGCUGGUGGUUAAACAUGUUGUACACAUAGUUGUGGGCAGAAUGCAAAAUGGAGUGAAAGAAGCAGCAUGCUUAGUGUGGCCUAUCCCAGCAUAUAGUCGGAAUGUGGCAAUACCCAUUAAAGAAGGAAGAAUUACUCUUUCUUGAUUCUGGAAUAGAAGAAUACUUGGUGCCAAACUGUACACGCAUUUGUGAACAGAACAGCAGUUUUCAAGGAUGAAGCACAGGAAGAGUAAAAUUUAAUCAGAGAUCUCUGACGAACACCUUGGGAGCUCACAAAGAAUGGCAACCACUGCUAUCAAACCGGCCCAAUGCGUUGGUUCCACAGAAGCAAGAUCACAUAUCCCACUAGUUUUAUGGUUUUGUUGCUUUUUUUCUUUGUAUAUUUUAAUUAAGGAAAUAAAAUGUUUUGUUACUUAUAUACAUAGAUUAUAUAUUUUAUGAUGGCUGCUCUGAAAGUAAUGCCUCCUAUUUUAUGAUGUUGUCCAGUGACAUCAGAGGUGGAUUUUGGUGUAUGGCGUCACAGAUUGAACCUUCCCACCAAUAUUCCAUUAUAUGUUGUUGCCAUGUGACAAAUGGCAGCAGAGGGGCAGUCUGGCAAAAUAGCAUGUGGUAUGGAAACACAGAUGAAGCAAAGGUGUGGAAUGGAAUUCCUUCAUUUGAAAAAAAAUUGCACCCGCUGACAUUCACUGGUGCUUGCUGAAUGUUUCUGGAGACCAAACAGUGGAUGUGAGCACAGUAGAGCAGUGGUGGUGCGUUUCAGCAGUGGUGACAGUGAUAGCAGGUCACCUCUGCUGGUACAGAUUGUUUUGAAUGUGGUAUGCAGGCUCUUGUUCAUCCCCAGGGAAAAUGCACAGCUAAUGGUGGAGACUAUAUUGAAAAAAACAGUGUUCUGUAGCUAAGAAUUUGAUCUAUUAAAUAGUGUUAUUGUGUUCUUUGUUUCUAUUGUAGUUUCCAUGGAAAUAAUUAGAAGGUAUUCAGAGCAACCUUUGUGGAUAUGGCCCUAGAAAAUUCAUUUUCACUCAAUGCAGCCCAGGCAAGCCAAAACGUUGGACACCUAUGGAUUAAAGCAUUUUUUAAGUGGUCACCAUUUUGGUGCUAUUCUGUAUGUCAGUGCCAGUAAUGCAAAUACCAUAGUGUAGGAAAACAUGAGAAUUCUAGUGAUAAAUGUGGUAAUAUUUUUUUCCCUUAAAACUGCACAAACAGUUCAUCUGUGCUGUGUAAUUUAUACUGGUUGCACUUACAGUUGUAUUUCACAUUUUAAAUAAAACUUCCUGAUAUGGUGGUUUGUGUUCGUUCAUAACGAAAUGUCAUUUGUGACAUCCAGUUCUUCAGAAAUAAAGCAUGACUCCCAGAGCAAUAGUUAAUACUAUAUACUUGUUCUGCUCCAUGGAAGGAAAGCCACCAGAUGUUUAAUAGAUAUCUGCUCUCAUUAUCCAUAGAGGCCUGUGGGCUAUAAGGCUCUGCUGAUUGCAAAUACCAUUAAAUCUUUUCCGAACUAAACAUCUGAGUAAAGUAUUUGUGUUUUAUGACAAGAUGGUAGACUAGAUGUGCUUUUAGCAUCAAGGGCAUGUUUAGUCAAACAACCAUAACCCAGUGAGAAUUUCACACAGUGUAG
rnacentral:lncRNA from 1 species